rnacentral:rRNA from 1 species
GGGAAUAUUGGGCAAUGGGCGCAAGCCUGACCCAGCAACGCCGCGUGAAGGAAGAAGGCCCUCGGGUUGUAAACUUCUUUUGUCAGGGACGAAGCAAGUGACGGUACCUGACGAAUAAGCCACGGCUAACUACGUGCCAGCAGCCGCGGUAAUACGUAGGUGGCAAGCGUUAUCCGGAUUUACUGGGUGUAAAGGGCGUGUAGGCGGGGAAGCAAGUCAGAUGUGAAAUUCCAGGGCUCAACCCUGGAACUGCAUUUGAAACUGUUUUUCUUGAGUGAUGGAGAGGCAGGCGGAAUUCCGUGUGUAGCGGUGAAAUGCGUAGAUAUACGGAGGAACACCAGUGGCGAAGGCGGCCUGCUGGACAUUAACUGACGCUGAGGCGCGAAAGCGUGGGGAGCAAACA